AACAAAAGAAGACCCAAAGCAGAGAAGCCAGCUGCCCUGUAGCUGCCAAUUUCCUCUCAAAAAACCUGCCAAAGCAUUUCAGAGCCUGGCCCAUUCUAGCCCAUAGCUGAGCCCAGAGGGAGUUGGUUCUUGGUUUAAAUGAUGGCAAAGUGGGAAACAGCUCUGACAGACAAACAUGACAACCUGCCCCAUCUGGAUCAGCACUUCUCACAGGCAUUUUAGUCACCGUAACCAUCUCUUUCCACAUCCUGAAGGAGCCAACUCAAAGACAGCAGAGAGGCCUUGCAAAACAGAGCUGAGAUGCAGUUUGAGUGAACUCAUUUUCAUCUGCCUCUGAACUGCAGCCACUACCUACUCCAGACUUUUCCGAGAGUAACAGUCUAUGAAGAGAGAAGGAAUGCCAGGAGGCUUAAGGAAUUGGGAAAGAAAGGUUGGGGAUUCUUGAAAGAACUUCAGUUCAGAAUUGCUUCCAAGCUCUGCCUAGCUCUGGUAAUGUUUUCCUUAUUUGCCUGUGGAAGUGAGAAAAGCUGAAGGCAGAUUUCCUGUCCUAAGGAAGCUAGCUCCAAGACACAGACUUUUCUGCUCAGACAUCAGCUAAAAUUAAACUGUACAUGUUACAGCAUGGAUGAACUUUGAAAAUAUUAUGCUCAGGGAAAGAAGUCAGACACAGAAGGCCACAUUGUGUGAUUCCAUCUAUCUGGAAUGUCGAGAAUAGGCAAAUCCACAGACAGAAGAUAGAUGAGGGGUUAGCAGGGAGCUGGGGGAUGAGGGUAAUGAUGAGUGACCACUAAUGAGUACAGUUUCUUCGGGGGGUAAUGAAAAUAUUCUGGAACUAGACAGUAAUGACAGUUGGUGAGUAUGCCCCAAACCACUGAAUUGUACACUUUAAAUGGUACCACUUUAUAGUAUGAGAAUUAUAUUGUAAUAUUUUUUAAGGGGGGGGGGACCAAACUGCAGUCAGUACCUUGACCUCAGAGAGGAGGCUCCUGCUCUUUAGAGCAGUGGUCCUUCAAACACGGUCCCCAGACCAACAGGAUCAGCAUCACUGAGAAAUUACCAGAAAUGCAAAUACGCAGGCUCCAUCCCAGACCACACAAUUAGAUGGGGCCCUAUAAUCUACGCUUUGAGAAGCCCUCCGGGUGAACAUCAUGUAUGUUCUCAAGAACCAUUACUUUUCUCCUCUUUUUCUUUUUCAUGACCUUUUAAAAAUGUAAAAACCAUUCAGUUCCCAGGCACACCAAAACAGAUAAUAGGAGUUCCCACUGUGGUUCAGCAGAAAUGAACCUGACUAGUGUCCAUGAUGUGGGUUCAAUCCCUGGCCCGGCUUAGUGGGUUGAGGAUCCAGUGCUGCCAUGAGCUAUGGUGUAAGCCAGAACUGGCGUUGCUGUGCCUGUGGCGUAGGCCAGCAGCUGUAGCUCCGAUACUUAGACCCCCAGCCUGGAAACUUCCAUGUGCCGCACCUUCGGCCCUACAAUAAAUAAAUAAAUAAAUUUAAAAAACAGGUAACAGGGAGUUCCUGUCGUGGUGCAGUGGUUAACGAAUCCGACUAGGAACCAUCAGGUUGCGGGUUCGAUCCCUGCCCUUGCUCAGUGGGUUAAGUAUCUGGUGUUGCCGUGAGCUGUGGUGUAGGUUGCAGACGCAGCUCGGAUCCCACAUUGCUGUGGCUCUGGCGGAGGCUGGCGGCUACAGCUCCAAUUCGACCCCUAGCCUGGGAACCUCCAUUUGCCGUGGGAGAGGCCCAAGAAAUGGC
rnacentral:lncRNA from 1 species